UCCAGGAUUCACAAAAUGAUUCUCAACCAGAUGUGCCCAAUGUUGAGGCACAGCAACUGCACACACCUCCUCUCUGAAGGUCAAGUAAAGUGCGUAAUGUACCACUCAAGUAUAGAUUUAUCAUUGAGAAUGACAACACAUCUCAUAUCAUUGAGAAUGAUGAUCCCACGACCUAUUCAAAAGCUGUCAUGAGUAGUGACUCUAGCAGAUG
rnacentral:lncRNA from 1 species